UGUAAGUUGUUGAAAUUCCGACUCUUCUUGGGCUCAUAACCCAAAGGUCGGUGGUUCAAAUCCACCCCCCGCAACCA
rnacentral:tRNA from 1 species